ACGCUCGACACCUACGGGCGGCAGCAGUGGGGAAUAUUGCACAAUGGGGGAAACCCUGAUGCAGCGACGCCGCGUGAGCGAAGAAGUAUUUCGGUAUGUAAAGCUCUAUCAGCAGGGAAGAAACUGACGGUACCUGACUAAGAAGCACCGGCUAAAUACGUGCCAGCAGCCGCGGUAAUCUGAGCGGGCUGGCAAGGC
rnacentral:rRNA from 1 species